rnacentral:rRNA from 1 species
GACGAACGCUGGCGGCGUGCUUAACACAUGCAAGUCGAACGAUGAAGCCGGAGCUUGCUCUGGUGAAUUAGUGGCGAACGGGUGAGUAACACGUGAGUAACCUGCCCUUGACUCUGGGAUAACUGCUAGAAAUGGUAGCUAAUACCGGAUACGACCCUCGGCGGCAUCGCCAGGGGGUGGAAAGAAUUUCGGUCAAGGAUGGACUCGCGGCCUAUCAGUUAGUUGGUGAGGUAACGGCUCACCAAGGCGACGACGGGUAGCAGGCCUGAGAGGGUGACCGGCCACACUGGGACUGAGACACGGCCCAGACUCCUACGGGAGGCAGCAGUGGGGAAUAUUGCACAAUGGGCGCAAGCCUGAUGCAGCAACGCCGCGUGAGGGAUGACGGCCUUCGGGUUGUAAACCUCUUUUAGUAGGGAAGAAGCGAAAGUGACGGUACCUGCAGAAAAAGCACCGGCUAACUACGUGCCAGCCGCCGCGGUAA